rnacentral:lncRNA from 1 species
CAAAAUAAAAGCAGAAGCCCCGCUGUUUAGAGAGUCCAGGCAACCACCAGUCCAUCUGCCUCAACAACCAGGCCACUCAAAAGCCUCAUUUCAAGGGCAAAACAUCAGAAAGGAGGAGCAAUGCAAAAGGCAAAAAGGCUGACACAGAGCAUCCAAGUUUCUACCUCUCUCCUGACAGAAUCAUUCAACACAAUCCGAUUUUCUCUGCUCAAGCCCACCUUCACUUUAAAAGAACAGAAAGGAUAGCCUUAGCUCCUAUCAAUGGUAUCAAGGCUUCCUCCCUUUGACAAGUAGCCCAGCAUCUGCAGUUUCAUCUCUUCAUCUUUUUUUCCCCCUGUAUGCACUUGUACAAAGCCAUAGCAGCUUCAUUGUAAGCUACAUGAAAUCCUAUUGGAUUCACACUGACUACGCGUGGGAUGGUCUUGCACGCCAGAAUGAUGGGAUAUCAAUGGUCCACUCGUCUGGAUUAAAGUGAGCUGGCAACCUGCAAGAAGUAACUCAGAACAUGGGUGUGUCACUGGUUUGACAUUAAGUAGAAGCUGCUUCCAUGUGGCAAUAGGACAGUGACAAGAACCUGAUUUAGCAGCUGCCACCCUGGGAAGUGACCACUCUCAGCUCUCCUUCCAGACAGAAGCAGCAUGGAAGGGGUAUCUGAGGUCUGUGUGUGACAUCAGGCAAUGCCAACCUAUCCAGGAAGCUGGGGCUAAACACAUCGAUGCUGCCCUGCACCACCUGGAACCUCCCCUGAACCCAGACAGGAACAGCAUCUUUAAAGGGCCCAACUGUUUGCUUGGAAAGACUAUCACAUGUGAAAAAAGUCUGUAUGGGAUAUGCUACCAGUGACACAGGUUACCCAGAAACACUUCCUGCCCUACACUACUGUCCUGACUUUGGAAAAAUGUGACCAAAAAAACUUCAUGC